UCAGCUCGUGUCGUGAGAUGUUGGGUUAAGUCCCGCAACGANNNAACCCCUNAUUGUUAGUUGCUACCAUUAAGUUGAGCACUCUAGCAAGACUGCCUGGGUUAACCAGGAGGAAGGUGGGGACGACGUCAAAUCAUCAUGCCCCUUAUGUGUAGGGCUACACACGUGCUACAAUGGCUGGUACAGAGAGACGCAAGACCGCGAGGUGGAGCAAAUCCCAGAAAACCAGUCCCAGUUCGGAUUGAAGGCUGAAACUCGCCUUCAUGAAGCCGGAGUUGCUAGUAAUCGCGAAUCAGAAUGUCGC
rnacentral:rRNA from 1 species